rnacentral:rRNA from 1 species
UACGUAGGGAGCAAGCGUUGUUCGGAUUUACUGGGCGUAAAGGGCGCGUAGGCGGCGCGGUAAGUCACUUGUGAAAUCUCUGAGCUUAACUCAGAACGGCCAAGUGAUACUGCAGUGCUAGAGUGCAGAAAGGGCAAUCGGAAUUCUUGGUGUAGCGGUGAAAUGCGUAGAGAUCCGGAGGAACACCAGAGGCGAAGGCGGCGCACCGGGCUGCACCUGACGCUGAUCCGCGAAAGCCAGGGGAGCGAACAGG